ACUUGACAUGUGAGAGCCUGAGGAGUUGUUCGCCCUCUGUCCAUGUUCGAGGACUUGCUCUCUGUCUGCCUCCACUCUCUGCCUUCACUGUACCAAAGUUUGUCUGUUGAGUCUCCUCUAGUCUGGUUGACCACUUGACAUGUGAGAGCCUGAGGAGUUGUUUUCCAGACAAAGGUAGAGCUGGCAGGGGCGUCACCCUGGGCCUGCCCUUUUGGGCUGGGCUUCAGCUGCAGAUCUAAAGGCUGCUUCCAGGGGCAUGGGGCCCUCAGCCUUUGUUUUUCUUUGCUUCUGCACCUUACAACAUACAUCACACCUUAUUUUCACACAUCCAAACACUGUUAACACCACUGACGCGUAACAUAUUUUACACAUCCCACUACGUAGUUAGAGCUAUCUUGAUUUGGAGUUAAAUAAAUUUACUUUUGGCUUGA